rnacentral:rRNA from 1 species
GUGAGGAAUAUUGCGCAAUGGAGGCAACUCUGACGCAGCCAUGCCGCGUGCAGGAAGAAGGCGCUACGCGUUGUAAACUGCUUUUAACCGGGAAGAAACCCCAGGACGUGUCCUGGGUUGACGGUACCGGAGGAAUAAGCACCGGCUAACUUCGUGCCAGCAGCCGCGGUAAUACGAAGGGUGCAAGCGUUAUCCGGAUUCAUUGGGUUCAAAGGGUGCGUAGGCGGAGCGUUAAGUCAGUGGUGAAAUCCUGCAUCUUAACUGUAGACUUGCCAUUGAUACUGGCGCUCUUGAGUGCGCUUGAAGUGGGCGGAAUGUGCCGUGUAGCGGUGAAAUGCUUAGAUAUGGCACAGAACACCAAUUGCGAAGGCAGCUCACUAAGGCGAUACUGACGCUGAGGCACGAAAGCGUGGGGAUCGAACAGGAUUAGAUACCCCAGUAGUCC